CGUAUCACCCAAGACAACUUUGCGGAGUUGACGAUUGACGGAGCGAAGCGACGUCAAAGCGUUCAUUAAAGUCGAGUUGGCUUAGGGAUACGUUCGUUGGGUAGGGGAGCGUUCUGUAAGCCAGUGAAGGUGUGUCGUGAGGCAUGCUGGAGGUAUCAGAAGUGCGAAUGCUGACAUAAGUAACGAUAAAGCGGGUGAAAAGCCCGCUCGCCGGAAGACCAAGGGUUCCUGUCCAACGUUAAUCGGGGCAGGGUGAGUCGACCCCUAAGGCGAGGCCGAAAGGCGUAGUCGAUGGGAAACGGGUUAAUAUUCCCGUACUUGGUGUUACUGCGAAGGGGGGACGGAGAAGGCUAUGUUGGCCGGGCGACGGUUGUCCCGGUUUAAGCGUGUAGGUGUGUGUUCCAGGUAAAUCCGGUUCACUUUAACACUGAGGCGUGACGACGAGGCACUACGGUGCUGAAGCAACAAAUGCCCUGCUUCCAGGAAAAGCCUCUAAGCAUCAGGUAACAUCAAAUCGUACCCCAAACCGACACAGGUGGUCAGGUAGAGAAUACCAAGGCGCUUGAGAGAACUCGGGUGAAGGAACUAGGCAAAAUGGUGCCGUAACUUCGGGAGAAGGCACGCUGACACGUAGGUGAAGUGAUUUACUCAUGGAGCUGAAGUCAGUCGAAGAUACCAGCUGGCUGCAACUGUUUAUUAAAAACACAGCACUGUGCAAACACGAAAGUGGACGUAUACGGUGUGACGCCUGCCCGGUGCCGGAAGGUUAAUUGAUGGGGUCAGCGCAAGCGAAGCUCCUGAUCGAAGCCCCGGUAAACGGCGGCCGUAACUAUAACGGUCCUAAGGUAGCGAAAUUCCUUGUCGGGUAAGUUCCGACCUGCACGAAUGGCGUAAUGAUGGCCAGGCUGUCUCCACCCGAGACUCAGUGAAAUUGAACUCGCUGUGAAGAUGCAGUGUACCCGCGGCAAGACGGAAAGACCCCGUGAACCUUUACUAUAGCUUGACACUGAACAUUGAGCCUUGAUGUGUAG
rnacentral:rRNA from 1 species